rnacentral:rRNA from 1 species
UACGUAGGGGGCAAGCGUUGUCCGGAUUUAUUGGGCGUAAAGAGCUCGUAGGCGGCCUGUUGCGUCCGCUGUGAAAGCCCGGGGCUUAACCCCGGGUCUGCAGUGGAUACGGGCAGGCUAGAGGUAGGUAGGGGAGAAUGGAAUUCCCGGUGUAGCGGUGAAAUGCGCAGAUAUCGGGAGGAACACCGGUGGCGAAGGCGGUUCUCUGGGACGGUACUGACGCUGAGACGCGAAAGCGUGGGGAGCGAACAGG